rnacentral:rRNA from 1 species
GACAGAGUCCUCAAGCGUUAGGCGGAAUCACUGGGCUUAAAGCGCGUGUAGGUGGAUUUUUAAGUGCCUUGUGAAAUCCUGCGGCUCAACCGCAGAACUGCUGGGCAUACUGGAAGUCUUGGGUCGUCCAGGGGCAACCGGAACAAGCGGUGGAGCGGUGAAAUGCGUAGAUAUCGCUUGGAACGCCAAAGGUGAAGACAGGUUGCUGGAGACGUACCGACACUGAGACGCGAAAGCCAGGGGAGCAAACGGG